rnacentral:lncRNA from 1 species
GGUGAAUUGGGUCUUUCAAAACUUUUAAACUACUUCUAAAACUUUUUGAUUAACUAUGCUAAGUUGUAUAGAUGCACAGUGAAAGUUAAACUUAGCAAGGGUUUGAUGUAUAGACUUCGACUUGAUUAAAUAUGCUUGCAACUAAAGGAUGUGCGGAUAAGAAUUAAGCAAGCAAUUUAUCUAAGUAAGUAAGUGUGUUAGUUAGACAAUAACGAGAGGCAUUACAAACACAAAGGACAUAUAGUGGUACGGUGCACCCC